UUUCCGUUGGUGAACCAGCGGAGGGAUCAUUACCGAGUUUACAACUCCCAAACCCCUGUGAACAUACCAUUUGUUGCCUCGGCGGUGCCUGCUUCGGCAGCCCGCCAGAGGACCCAAACCCUUGAUUUUAUACAGUAUCUUCUGAGUAAAUGAUUAAAUAAAUCAAAACUUUCAACAACGGAUCUCUUGGUUCUG
rnacentral:misc_RNA from 1 species